AAUAAUAAUAGUAAGAAAUAUAUAUAAAUAAACCGGCACAUCUCGAUACACACGCCACGCCAUAACGUAUACAGAGAAGCCAGUGAGUAAACAUUUAUCGUAAUUACUAGUUUCAGUUCUCCUUAGACAGUAGAACUAAUAAGUGCUACGAUUUAAAUUCGCAUUAAAAUUACCAAUUAUUACUGAAUUGUCGCAAACACAGCACUGUCUCUCUUUAAUUCUAGUUGAAAAAUCGAGUUCCGAGUUUCGAUAAAUUACUGUCAACAAGUCAGCGCUCUCUGUGAAUCUUAAUAAGCACAAACUCAGAGUGCACAAUAAAAGCAAAAAAUAGGUUAGAUGUCGUUCAUCGAUGAUCAAUAAUAACAAAAAAAAUUGAUGAUGUACAACUUAGGACAUCGAUACAACCUCGAUAACUCUCCGCUGUGUAUCGCAGCGUGAUUGAUGCGGAUAUAUACACACAUGCUCUCUCUCAUUAAUCGUCUCCCCUGUCGCCUAUGAAUAAUAUCGGCGGCUUGGGAUACCGACGCGACGGAGAAGACUGCGCUGGCCAAUAAGAGCUGAGAAACGAGCGAAACGAGGUACCAUCUCGUCAAGAGAUAAAAGCGUGUUUAGGCGCAAGACUUCUCACGGGAAUCUCCUUUCCGGCGGAGCGAUCUAUCCGCGGUGGGUCGACGUCCUCUCGAACGUUUUCACGUUUUCUCCGAAGGAUCGUCGCCCGCUGCACGCAUAUUGUUCGCGUUAUACAUGUGGCCCUAGGCGUGCGAACUAAGACACUUAAGCGAGUUCGAGUGGUAAACGACAAAGAGCCGUGGUCCAUCGCGAUCGCUCGGAGAUCCGCCCCAAAGUUUUACCGUACGGAGAAAAAGCCGCCUGAAUUUUUCACAGCCGCAAAAAGAUCGCGACAUCGGUCACACAUCUGAAUAUUUCAGGAAAACUCGAGGUGAAAUAUCGGCAGGUGAUGAUCGGGGAAGGAAAAAAGGAAAGGUUGAGGAAGAUAUGACUGGUGUGGCUACUGUGUCCCGAGAGGGAGCGGAGGAAACGUUUCUAGGAGGAGAAAGGAGCGGAGGAGAACGCAGCUGCUCUCGCAAAAGAAUCGAUUGUCAAACGUUCUCUUUAUCCGUAUACCGGGUCUUCGUUUCAGCCACACUCUCUACGCUCCUGCUUCUUUCUUCUUUCUCCCCUGAGCUCGUUCACCCCGGAUCCGCCUCUCUCGGAAGCUCAAAUGCACGUCUGUUUCAUCUAGCAUACGGAGAGUUUCAUCUUAAGUGCGGCGAGAGCGUUUAAGUGACCGCGGGAAAAUGAGGAAAUGGAGGAAAUGGAUGUCGUGUUCUUUCGCAUUCGGACGGAUUUUUCCAACGGGACACGCCUUUCGUUUCGUUUUAACGGUAAUUAACGCGACGAGGUGCGUGAGAGCGCGUUAAUCCACGUGAAAUUGAAAGAGGGAUACGUUACGCGCGUGUACGUUGUGUACGCGACCGUAGCGUCGAUAAUGUAGAGCUCUGCGUGUGCGGAACUCAAGUCGCACAAAGUUGCUGUCUCUCUCCGCGGGGUUAAUUAAUUCUUGCGUAACGGUGACCAGAUCCAACCGCAAACGAAAGCUCCGUCGAAAUAAAGCAUAUAAAAUUGACCGAGGUCUUCCUUUGCCGCACGCGCGUGUUUGUCUCAUGCAAGAUUAAUUCGUCCUUACAUGCUCGCUCGACGCAAAAGUCGGAGUCAUCAAUGCGUGUGACGUCUGAAAUAAUUCGCCGUUUCUCGCGUAUAAAAAUCGCUCUUUGACGAUGAUAUCUGCACGGGAAAAAACAAUAUGGUUGGCCCGUAUAUAAAGCUGCUUGUGCAACCAGAUUCAACAGCGAAACAACUAAUUAUGUGAUUGCUGCAACCACGUAGCAAUUUCUGAGUUACUGGCGUUGCAGCAGCGACGAUUUCUGAUUGCUACAACUAGAUCACAUUCACUUACAUUGAAGUGGUUGAUGUACCAAAGUAACGGCGUCAUAUCAACCAUACACAUUACUAUCAUACAAAAAUAACUAAAAUGAUGUAACCAUGCUGUUCACAACUAAAUAUUUUUAGUAUAUCUACAGGGUGUCUCACACUCU